UGAGGACCUGAGUUGGAGGAAGAAAGACAGCCUUUCAGGAAGACGCGUUUGCUCCCAAGAGGACACUUCGGGAUCUAGGACGACCUUUUAUAAACCAGUUCAGACCACGGCCACCCACCCGUCGCCAAGGUAUUUAGGAAACUGGCAAAGACAGAGCGUCAAGCCUUGCGUUGAUCUCCCGUGGCCUUAGCAGCACGCUCCCUGCCAGCGGAUACAUGUUUUCUUACGACGGACUGAAAAUAUCUCCGAAGCACCCGGAGGUGCCGUUUUCUCAGGGAGGAGAGGUUGUGAGUGUGUGACACACAACAGAAGAGGGCCGUAAUUCGCUAAGGAAAUAUUAUACAGGGCAUCAAGCGGGAAUUAGGAUCUGAGUCAAGCGACGUUAUUUCGACGUUUGAGAAUCUUUGAAAUCAAAAUGUAAAGAACGACAGUAUGCGAGUCUAUUUUAUAGCUGAGCUUACACAGUCUGACACGGUAAAUAUCACUAUCAAUCAAUGUCAUGAUUGUUGUUUUUUAAUGUUUCCAGUUUCAUGGAUUUGAAUAGGAACAUCUGUUCCCUCAGACGCACUGCCAAUAACGUGAUCCAAGUGGCGCUCCUUACUGGAACCAUGAAAUCAGCGGAUUUUUAGUAAGGUGCCUGUUAGGUUCAAAAUGCCACACGGGGUGUAGUGAGUGGUGCGAGGCGGAAAAGAGCGAGCCUCUGUCUUCAUGGAGCUUGGAGUCUAGUCAGAAGAUGCUAAAAAAAGAAAGCAGUAUUUAUUUAGACAAUUUUUUUUAACGCUUAUUUAUUUUUGAGAGAGAGACAGAGAGUGGGAGCAGGGGAGGGGCAGAGAGACAGAGGGAGACACAGAGUCUGAAGCAGGCACCAGGCUCCGAGCCGUCAGCGCAGAGCCCGACGCGGGGCUCGAACCCACAAACCGUGAGAUCACGACCUGCGCCGAAGUCGGAUGCUCAACUGACUGAGACACCCAGGCACUCCAAGUAAGCAGUAUUGAACCACUGGAUUUAAAUAGCUGCUCCCGACGUAGCAGAAGGCUGAAGCGUCUCAGCUGACAGGAGAGAAAGUGACAAGUCGCGAAACAAUGACCUGAUCGAUCCUGAGGGACCAGAAACGGUGACUGCUGGAACAGGCGGAUGUGUGGUGGUGAAGCUUGAAAAGGACAAAAUGGCCAGCUGAUGGCACCAGAAGCUAAGUGAGAGAAUGACUUUCUGAGAAAUGCUUAAUCAUAAUCCAUGUUGCCUAGUAUGUUUCGGUGCGCCCUGGAAAAUGGGAGUUAAAAAAAAGCAGCCGUUUCCCAUGGGCUCCAACUAACUCGUCCCUCUGUUCUGCGUGUCUGAAGUCCUUGCAGGGGCUAGAGCACCUCCUGGAAAGGAACGACGGGGCCGCGGCUCAGGCCUGAAACAGACCAAGUCCUUUCCUGAGCUUGGGGGUUUGCUCUGAAGAUAAGGCACCUUUCAGUCACAGGAAGUGCUGGCAGAGGAUUAUUUCUCAAAUAAGACGAGCAUAAUAGAUUGAGCAGGAAAUGCCCAGCUGGGGACUGCGCCAGGUCUGGUCUCCAUGUAACAGAGCUCAAGAGACAACUCAUGAAGGAGAUAAAGAGAAAAGCUUUCAAUUCACAUGACACUAACAUCCCAUUCUGGUUUUUUUGUUUUUUUUUUUUUUAACAGAAAACUCUGAAUCCACAGAGAAUGACACCUGUCCUAUUUGUGUGCAGUGCUGUGAUUUUUCCUCUAUUUAUGGCAUCUAACAGGAACUUUAUAAUUUUAUCACCUGCGGUUUAUUUAAUUAUAAUUUUUUAAGUUUAUUUAUUUUGAGAGGGAGAGAGAAUGAGCAGGGGAGGAGCAGACAGAGAGGGGGAGAGACGGAAUCCCAAGCAGGCUUGAUGUGGGACUCAUUGUGGGACUCGAAUUCACAAACCUGUGAGAUCGUGACCUGAGCCGAAAUCAAGAGACGGACGCUUAACCGACUGAGCCACCCAGGUGCCCCCAACUGUUAAAAUAAGGCAGAAACACAUAAAAAAGCAGCAGUAAUAACACUCUACAUGUUCUUAAAUUCUCAACGCCUCCAUUAUCAUGAUUGAUACCUUGUAUUUGUUUAGGACUUAGAUGCUUUCAAGGUACUUUCAAGUAUAUUAUCAUAUUUGACACUAAUAAAGAAAAAAAGGGAUUAGCUGAGGAAGACUUAUCUUGGAAGAACAUUAGGUAUCCCAUUAUUAUUAUUAUUAAUUAUUUUUAAUGUUUCGUUUAUUUUUGAGAGAGUGCAAGUGGGGGAGAGGUAGAGAGAGGGGGACAGAGGAUCUGAAGCAGGCUCCCUGCUGACAGCAGCAAGCCCGAUGCGGGGCUCGAACUCAUGAACCGUGAGAUCAUGACCUGAGCUGAAGUCAGACGCUCAACUGACUGAGUCACCCAGGAGCCCCAGGUAUUCCAUUUUGAAACUAAACUUAUCAUUUCGACAGCUUUCUUUUUAUCCCUUUUCCCUUCACCUUUCAUAACAUCUCUAGAUGUUCUUUCUCCAGCUCCUUAAUUAGCUCAUUUUCCUCAACUUUCUCUUCUUGACUCUUCCUUUAAUUUUUUUGUCCCUGAAAGGCCACACUGCCUAUAGUCACUGUCUUGGCUUCAUGAUUUGCUCACUGUGCAACUUUGGUCAUAUUGGUCAUCAUCUGUAAAGUGGAAGUGAUACCACCUACAAUGAGAAAAAAAAAAAGUACAAAUCUCCGCAAACAUUGAGCACUUAGGAG